rnacentral:rRNA from 1 species
UACAGAGGUCCCGAGCGUUGUUCGGAUUCACUGGGCGUAAAGGGUGCGUAGGUGGUGAGGUAAGUCGGAUGUGAAAUCUCCGAGCUCAACUCGGAAAUGGCAUUGGAAACUACCUUGCUUGAGGUUGGAGGGGGAGCUGGAAUACUUGGUGUAGCAGUGAAAUGCGUAGAUAUCAAGUGGAACACCAGUGGCGAAGGCGAGUCCCUGGACAACUCCUGACACUGAGGCACGAAAGCUAGGGGAGCAAACAGG